rnacentral:rRNA from 1 species
UUGAACGCUGGCGGCAUGCCUUACACAUGCAAGUCGAACGGCAGCACGGGAGCUUGCUCCUGGUGGCGAGUGGCGAACGGGUGAGUAAUGCAUCGGAACGUGCCAUUGAGUGGGGGAUAACGUAGCGAAAGUUGCGCUAAUACCGCAUAUUCUGUGAGCAGGAAAGCAGGGGACCGCAAGGCCUUGCGCUCUUUGAGCGGCCGAUGUCAGAUUAGCUAGUUGGUGAGGUAACGGCUUACCAAGGCGACGAUCUGUAGCGGGUCUGAGAGGAUGAUCCGCCACACUGGAACUGAGACACGGUCCAGACUCCUACGGGAGGCAGCAGUGGGGAAUUUUGGACAAUGGGCGCAAGCCUGAUCCAGCAAUGCCGCGUGAGUGAAGAAGGCCUUCGGGUUGUAAAGCUCUUUCGGCCGGGAAGAAAUCGCAUGGGUUAAUACCCUGUGUGGAUGACGGUACCGGAAUAAGAAGCACCGGCUAACUACGUG